AAAGUUGCUGAUCUCAGAGGAGUGCAAAAACAACCCUGGAUGAUGCUGACAUGCCUAUCCCCCAUUUGAAGAAAGCAUCGUAAUGCAAAGAAGAGACACCCCCCCCUCUUAAAAAAGGCAUAAUUUGGGCCUUUGAGACCAUGUCCCUUACCCCCUGCCAAAGUGUCAAGACUCACAUCUUUAAUUCAACAAUCUUUGUAUUAAUUACCUCUGGAUAAGCAGGAGAUAUGCAAUUCGCAUAAGGAAGGAUUCUUGUCCGCACAGAGAUGCCACUCCAGUAGAACAGAAGAAGCAUGGUGCAGUGGAGAGAUUCUGGCCUCUACAGGCAAUGGGGAUUAAGUGACUUGCCCAAGGUCACACAGCUAGUAAGUGUCAAGC